ACACAAUUUUUGUUGUACAUCAGCUGGAAUCACCAAGUAAUAAACAUAUCAUAAAAAUAAACUUUCAGCUGGUCGAUCUGCAUUAAGUCUGAUGUACUACCUCCAUUCCUAAAUAUAUGAUGCUGGGGCAGUUUAAUUGAGGUAGUAUGACUCGCCGGAAAAUAACUGAAAUACUCAGUGGUUACUCUUGAUUCAGCUCCAAAGUUCAGAGAAAAAUAUGUGCUUGCAGUGAAAUCUGAAAUGUUGGUAGUCCGGCAUCAUGCAGAAUCAAGGUAAACCCUCACCGUGUUGUAAGCUCAAUCUGAAGUUUACAUUGGUGCACGUCAGCCUUAUCGAGCAACAGCUCUGACAGACAAACAUAGCAGAGAAAUGCAAGUUUAGAGAUAUAUCAGUAGCAAACACAAAAGAAAUCAUAUUAACAACUUCAUUCAGCACCAUUCCGCAGUUUCCCAGGUUGACUUAUCAAAUAGAAUUAGUAAGUAGGCACGCCCAAUAACAAAGUGCUGAAAGAUACAACCUUUGAUGUAGGAAUUGUGGGAACUCAUUUUCUAGUUAUUCUAGAGAGUCGGAUGAACACCGCGAGCCACAGAAACUGUGAGAAACCCAUCCACCUCUUCUCCGGCCUUCACGGCCGCCGCAACAACGUGCCUGAUGCGCCUUCCUUAGCGCCCCUCCUACUGGAGUGACACCUGUCCAAGAUUGGAGGACCACAAGAAUUUUAAUCAGAAAUUGAUAUGAAUUUCCUCACAAAUAGAGUGCUAAGAAACCAUUAAAAAUCCAAUGAAUUCGAAUCCUACAAAUCACUCGAUCUGCAGAGCGCUAAGGCACCUUAAUUGCAG
rnacentral:lncRNA from 1 species